rnacentral:ncRNA from 1 species
CCCCAGGUCAGGCGGGACUACCCGCUGAGUUUAAGCAUAUAAAUAAGCGGAGGAGAAGAAACUUACAAGGAUUCCCCUAGUAACGGCGAGCGAACCGGGAACAGCCCAGCUUGAGAAUGUGGCGGCUGUGCCGUCCGAAUUGUAGUCUGGAGACGCGUCCUCAGCGACGGACCGGGCCCAAGUCCCCUGGAAAGGGGCGCCUGGGAGGGUGAGAGCCCCGUCCGGCCCGGACCCUGUCGCCCCACGAGGCGCGGUC